UAGGGAAUAUUGCGCAAUGGCCGCAAGGCUGACGCAGCGACGCCGCGUGUGGGAGGGAGCCCUUCGGGGUGUAAACCACUGUCAGGGGGGAAGAACUCCGUGGAUGCGAACAGCUUUCGCGGUUGACGGUACCCCCAGAGGAAGCGCCGGCUAACUCCGUGCCAGCAGCCGCGGUAAGACGGAGGGCGCAAGCGUUGUUCGGAAUCACUGGGCGUAAAGCGCUCGCAGGCGGUCCCUUAAGUCCGCCGUGAAACUCCGGGGCUCAACCCCGGACUUGCGGCGGAUACUGAGAGACUAGAGACUGGUAGAGGCUAGCGGAAUUCUUGGUGUAGCGGUGGAAUGCGUAGAUAUCAGGAAGAACACCGGUGGCGAAGGCGGCUAGCUGGGCCAGUUCUGACGCUCAUGAGCGAAAGCGUGGGGAGCAAACAGG
rnacentral:rRNA from 1 species